UACGUAGGGAGCAAGCGUUGUCCGGAAUCAUUGGGCGUAAAGCGCGCGUAGGCGACCCCGUAAGUCUGCUGUAAAAGUCAAAGGCUCAACCUUUGAAAGCCGGUGGAUACUGCGGGGCUGGAGUCCGGAAGAGGCGAGUGGAAUUCCUGGUGUAGCGGUGGAAUGCGCAGAUAUCAGGAGGAACACCAAUAGCGAAGGCAGCUCGCUGGGACGGUACUGACGCUAAGGCGCGAAAGCGUGGGGAGCGAACAGG
rnacentral:rRNA from 1 species